rnacentral:misc_RNA from 1 species
CACCGCGCGCUGCUGGACGCCUACAUCGCGCAGCACUUCGACGAGAUCUGCGAGAGCGGCGCGCUGGCGGCGCUGCCGCUGAUCCGCAUCGAGCUGCUGCGGGAGACGAGCGCCGACGGCGGCGAGGAGGCGCCCGCCGCGGUCGCCGACGCCGCGCUCGCCUGGCUGCGCGACCACCACGCCGCCGACGUCGACGUACGUUUGUCGCCACUUUUUUAUACGGCUAGGUGAUAACGAGCGUACGGAUCACCUAAUUGUAAGCGAUUACCAACUUAUAGACGCCUGCAACACCAGAAGUAUCCCGAGUGCUUUGCCGACCCUCCC